CAUGAACGCUAGCUACAGGCUUAACACAUGCAAGUCGAGGGGCAGCACAGUGUAGCAAUACACGGGUGGCGACCGGCGCACGGGUGCGUAACACGUAUCCAAUCUGCCCGUUACUCGGGGAUAGCCUUCUGAAAGGAAGAUUAAUACCCGAUGGCAUUCAUUUGCGGCAUCGCUUAUGAAUUAAAGAUUUAUCGGUAACGGAUGAGGAUGCGUACGAUUAGCUGGUUGGCGGGGUAACGGCCCACCAAGGCGACGAUCGUUAGGGGUUCUGAGAGGAAGGUCCCCCACACUGGAACUGAGACACGGUCCAGACUCCUACGGGAGGCAGCAGUGAGGAAUAUUGGUCAAUGGUCGAGAGACUGAACCAGCCAAGUAGCGUGAAGGAUGACUGCCCUACGGGUUGUAAACUUCUUUUGUUUGGGAAUAAAGUGAGGCACGUGUGCCUUUUUGUAUGUACCUUACGAAUAAGCAUCGGCUAAUUCCGUGCCAGCAGCCGCGGUAAUAC
rnacentral:rRNA from 1 species